UGCCAGCAGCCGCGGUAAUACGUAGGGGGCAAGCGUUGUCCGGAUUUAUUGGGCGUAAAGAGCGUGUAGGCGGCCAGACAGGUCCGUUGUGAAAACUAGAGGCUUAACCUCUAGACGUCGAUGGAAACCGUCUGGCUAGAGUCCGGAAGAGGAGAAUGGAAUUCCUGGUGUAGCGGUGAAAUGCGCAGAUAUCAGGAAGAACACCCGUGGCUAAGGCGGUUCUCUAGUACGGUACUGACGCUGAGACGCGAAAGCGUGGGGAGCGAACAGGAUUAGAUACCCUGGUAGUCCACGCCGUAAACGAUGUGUGCUAGGUGUGGGGGGUGUCGACUCCCCCCGUGCCGAAGCUAACGCAUUAAGCACCCCGCCUGGGGAGUACGGCCGCAAGGCUGAAACUCAAAGGAAUUGACGGGGGCCCGCACAAG
rnacentral:rRNA from 1 species